UUCAUAUAUACAGUUUACUGGUCCCGGGGUGGGAACAUGGAAGUGUGGCUGAAACUGUCACUAUCCAUGAUACCUUUCCUUAGUAGUUAUUACAGGUAAAAUUUCAAUGCCUGAGGACACAUUAGAGAAAAAGGAGAAGGAUGAAGGGAGUGAAGACAGAUGGGAGACUUUUCCUGCCCUCUGCAGUGUGUCAGCUACCAUGGAUGCCCUUUGCAUCUGUGUUGGUCAAACACGCAGAAGCUUUGACCCAAAAGCCAGAAGAAUCCACAAGCAGCCCCAAUACAGGGAAAUCACCCAGGCCACACCUAAGUGGAAGAAGGGUCAUUUUCUCUAGUUGAAGUGUGAAAAGAAGGGAAACCUACUGAGGAGCCAUAACAGCAGAGUUACCCAGCAAUCCUACUAGAUAACGCCAUCAAUAUUUGCCAAGUAUUGUAUGGUAGAUAGGGCACAUGAGCCUUCUGGUAGAAUAGAUACUCAUUUUCCCAUAAUGAUGCAAGGUGCUCUGCCCACCUCAGCACAUGUGGCCACCAUGCUCUUACUCUGGCCCAGGAACUCAGGCACUUCUUUUCAAUUUAGGAGCAAGAUUCACCCAAGAAGAUAUCCCAAGUCUGUUGUGAGAUAUGUCACUGUGACUGGUUUAAUAAAAGCUAAACAACCACUAGUCUGGAAUGACUUCUGGACAGAAAACUCUGGGAAGAAGAAAGGCGGAGUCUCCAGCCAGAUGUAGAGGAAGCAGGAUUGGCAAAAUGGAGAUGAGGGAAGUGACUUCCCCUCUCUAAAUUGUGGGUAUUCAACAGGAAGAAACAGUUACCAUCAUUAAAUAGGUUCUGAGUGAGAUUACAACAGAUCUUCUGAUAAGGUAAGACCCGAGAAAGCCUUGGGCUCUAGCAAAGCUAUCUAUGAGGGAUAAGAAUGCUGCCUGGGAGCUGGAAUAGGGUGUGGGCAGAGACUGUGGUCACAAACCAGACAUAACACUUAUUGGGUAAAUUCAAACAUCCACUCAAUGGCUGCGAAUUGUCCAGGGACACUCGACUCAUCCUCCUCUUUGUCCAUCUCUUAGCAUAUGACUGGUGGCUGAGUACUCAGCAAGUGUGAGAGGUCAGAAAACUGUCAGAGGAUCCCCAUAUAACUCACAGCCCAUGCUGAGGUAUGGAAGGAAGGUAUCUGUGAGCUUCUCCUGGGAUGCCUGGAAUCACCAUAUAUUACAUGCCCAAGAAUCAAGAAUGGUGAAGUAAAUCUCCAUCUGGCAUAGAAACUAAAAAGACUUGGAGUUAUGAACGGCCUCAGCCAGUGAUCAACAUGGAACAUGUAGGAGCUUCCAUGGUGGGGAGGACUGGGUGGGUGGCACCAGUGCACACACCAUUUGGUGUUAAAUAAGAAGAACUGGGAGUUUCUUUGGGGAGAUGAUGGUCAAAAUAGUACUAUUAUGUCCCAUUUCAGGGGAGUCACCAAUGUGCUUCUAAGCAGCAGCAACAGCAGCAGCAGGACCAUCACCACCAUCACCACCACUACCACCACCACCACCACCACCACCACCACCACCACCACUGUCAUCGCCAUUACGACCAUUGAAGGGCUCUCUUCCAGGCCCGAGCAUGGUUAACAUCUUGCCGUCUCUCCUUCCCUCUGCCUUGCUAAACUGUUAGGCUACAGUCAUAAAGCUAGCCCCCGUGGUCUAUUCCCUUAUUUGGCCUCUUCCUUAUGCCUGAUUAAAACUCCAAGGUUCAACUACGAAAGCAUCAAGGUCCAACAGUCAAAAUUCAUUGUUUGUCUACACUGGCUAACCUGUCCAGUCAGGACAUACCAAGUUACCCUAGCACAGACUUCCCAUUUUCUCCUUUAAAAAGACACUCCCCAUUUUCUCCUUUAAAAAGACACUCCUGCAGAAACAUCCACUGUCUGAUCCAGAGACACCCCCUACACCUCCAUUGUUUGUCUCUCUGGGUAAUAAAUCUCCUUCGUGCUGAGAAUUUGGUGUCUGGGUGUGUUCUGUGCUGAU